AAAGAGAUUUUGUAACGCACCGAUUGUCCUUACCAGUGGGCUCCACAUCCUCUCUCAGGGCCAUCACCCCUGUCCGACGGUCGGUGCGCUAUGUCCGGGAGGUAAAGACUUGUUACCAACCCUACAAAUCACCAAAUUAUCUUUUUCCAUGCUUUGUCCUGUUCCGACAAUCACUUUCCGGAAGGUCAUCCAUCCUAAAACUACUCCAGCUCAAGCACGCUUAACUAUGGAGUUCUCUCAGGACCUCUGACCAAAAGAUAAGUGCACUUUGGUGACAUAGGUGGCCAAAUCAAAAUUCUUUUAAAUAUCUCCGCAUGCACCACCAUAUUUCUGAAACCGGGGUGUUACAGAUUUGAUGUGAGAGAUUGGAUGUGAUCUUGUCGACGUAGUUUUGCGGUUUGGUGCUUGUAUGGUCAAGCUU
rnacentral:sRNA from 1 species